AAGGAACUGGUGGUUUCACAUUCGAUUCCCCAAUUGUACGCGUUUGUGAAAAGCACUUUGAUGAGAGUGAUAUCGUUCGCGUGGACCAGUAGCUAAUCGGAGGUGCUGUCGUGACAUCGCAGCGCGACAUUCCGGACGCGAGGAUUUUCGAUGGCCCCGCGGCGUAUUUGUCAAGCGCGACAACGUCCAGAGCUCGCCUGCCUAGACAGAAAACGCGUUCUAAGCGUCGUCGGGAACCUUCACCUGAUGUGAAGACCGUUGAGGCUGAACCGACACUGUGCGCGAACCCCUCUGACACAGCUACGGCGGAGAGUAACACAGCUAAUGAAGGCACUGAGAUCACCAAAAACGUAGAGGUGACAUGCCAGACAGACGGAGCUAUAUGCAGUUCCUCGCAGCUUCAAAAAUUGGAAGCACACGUUCGUUACUUGGAACAGCGACUUCAACGCUACCAGAUGAGGCUUGCUCUGAUGACAGCGCAAGAGAGGCGCACCUUCAUCAUGCGAGCGAAUGACUACUUUAAAACGUUAAAUAUACGCACAAGAUAUGUGUUGAUAUGUGUCUAAGGGCAAACGUCUGUACUAAAUAAAAACAUUUGGUUUUGAGGGCUGGUGAUCUAAUAGGGUUUGAAUCUGAUGGAUCAAUAAAACAGUUCCUCAC
rnacentral:lncRNA from 1 species